UCGUGCGCUGUACACACAGUAAUGGAGCAAGGGAGGAAGAUUUAUAUAUCUAUCGUUCUUUAUCCAGACCAGUGACAUUGGGAAAAUAAUCUAUUUUUUUCACAGGAGCCCUGGCCAAGAAGAGGUGGCAUGAUGUCGUCAGACAGGGAUAAAGGGACAGUGUACGACAACUUCCAGCUCAGGAACCAAUGGGAGAACAGAGCUAAGCAGUUCAGUCAGAAGGGACAACUGGAAAAGGAGAGACAAGGAAAGAGUGCCUUGAAUGGGCUUUAUAAAAAGUGGCAGUCUCGCCUGGCGAACACAAAUGGAACUCCUACGGCAGCGGAGAAGAAAGGAAAGGGCAGCAACAUAUCUGACUUCAGAAAGGUUGCGGUGAUCCCAGACAUUGAUGCUGACAUCGAAAGAGCCAUGUUUAAGGUGGUACCACCACCAAAGAUUCCCAAACCUGCUCCAUCCCCACCACCCAAAAAGAAACCACCCAAGAGGGCAAAGCCCCAAGUUCUCAAACCAGCCGGAGGCUGGGAUGAGUCAUGGAAGAGCCUGAAGCCCCCAGAGCAGGAAGUCCAACCUGAGGAAAAAUGGUGGAGGGAUUUUAAGCCAGAUAGAUACCUACCUCUCAGCGAAUGGGCAAGGCCCUUCAAAUGUCGACCACUGUUAUUCAGUUUCAUCCUUCACCAGCAAACAGAGUGGUGGCAGCGAGGAUGGCCAGUGUUAAGCUGGGAACAAAGCAACAAACUAUUGAAAGCUAAGCCUUUGGAUGUCGAAGUAAACCUUCUAGGGUGGGAGGAUGCUUGGAAGACAUCCAAAUCUUUAUCCAAGCAACACAUUGAGAACCAGAUGAUUACAGAAACAGUACAGCUCAAAGCCUUCUUCCCAGGCUGGACAGAAUCUUGGAAGGUCGCAGGUGAAAAUGUCCAAAACAGUGGCCGAUAUCUGAGGGAUUGGCACGAGUCCUGGAGUUUGUGCCAAGAACACCACUGGUACAAGGCCCCCAUAGACUCCCAGUUGAUGUCAAAACAUGUGUUGUCCGAUGAGUUGUUGAUCUCUCAGCUUGAUGAGGAUAUCCCAUCUUCAUCAGAUUGGAUAGAGUCCUGGAAAUCUGUGAAAUCUCAGCCCCAGUACCAAGAGUCCGAGUCAGAGCCCAAAGGGACUGAAUUAAAGGUAGAAAUGUCCCAUGUGCCACUGCAUUUCCAGUUCCACAAGCUUAACACACCUUUCUCAAACUGGCACGAGUCUUGGAAAGUGUCAACUGCAAACAAUGAAGCAAUUGAAGAUGGAUGGAAAGGUUCCUGGAAGAUAUGUAGUCAGCAUCAAAAUGACACAAAUGCCCAAAGAGAUGUUGUGUUUUUCUCAAAUAAGUACAAGACCCAAAGGUUCCGGGGUGUUGACAGCAUGCCUCAGAGUGAAUGGUCUAAAUCCUGGAAGACCUCCAUGCCUCCCCAACAUACUUUUUUGCCAGGUUGGAAAGAAUCUUGGAAACAAAACAGCAAUCCAUAUUGGAAGGAUUGGCAUGAGUCCUGGAGUUUGUGCCAAGAACACCACUGUUGCAAGUCCUUUAUGGACUUCCAGUAUUGCCAUCAUGCUAUGAUAAUGUCAAAAUGCUUGCUGACCAAUGAGCUGUUGAGCUCCCAGCUUGAUGAGGAAAUCCCAUCUUCAUACGAGUGGAUUGUGUCCUGGAAAUCUGUGAAACCUUAUCCUCAGUCCCAGUCAGAUUCAGAAGAAACGGAAUCAGAGUUGGAAAUGUCCCAUGUCCCACUGCAUCUUCAGUUCUACAAGCUUAACACACCUUUCUCAAACUGGCAUGAGUCUUGGAAAGUGUCAACUGCGCAAGCUGUAGCAGGUAAAGAUGAACAACAUCCUUCAACAGAAUGGGCGGAUUCCUGGAAGAUAUCUUGGACGAACCUAAAUAGAAAUGACUUAAAACCCCAAAGGGAUGUUGUAUUUUUCUCAAGGCAUAAGACUGAAUGUUUUUUUAGUGUUGACUGUAUGGUCCAGAAUGAAUGGUCUGAAUGCUGGAAGACCAUCAAGCCGACCCAAUACACUACGACACAGGAGGAGGAGGAGGAGGAAAAAGAUAGCCAUUCUGCUUCCUCUAAACAUUUGUCACAUCUAAUAGAGAUUCCUUUGAAUGAUUGGGCAGAAUCAUGGAGGUUCAAGCCAGAGGAUGAGAGCCCCACCUCACCCAAGAAGGCACAGCCCCUAGCCCCAAAACCAGAGGAGGAGAUGCUGAAAGCCAGCACACCAUCACAUCCUCAGCCUUACAAAUACAAUCUUAACCAGGCAAUCUGGGGUGAUUCCUGGAAAAUCCUGAAGCCCCCACAGAAGGACGUCCCAUCUGGAAAAAAAUGGUGGAGGGCGUUUAAGCAGGACAGAAACCUACCUUUCAAUGAAUGGGCAAAGCCCUUCAAGUGUCGACCACUGCUAUUCAGUCGCUUACUGCACACACAAACAACAUCCUGGCAGCAGGGAUGGCCAGCGUUCAGCCGGGAACAAAGCAACAAACUACUGAAUGCUAAGCGUUUGGAUAACAAAGUAAACCUUCCGGAGUGGGAGGAUGCAUGGAAGACACUCAAGCCUUUACACAAGCAGCAUACUGAGAACAAGAUGGUUACAGAAAGAGUACAGCCCGAUGGCUUCUUGCCAGGUUGGACAGAAUCUUGGAAGGUCGCAGGUAACAAUGUUCAAAACAACAAUCCCUAUCUGAAGGAUUGGCAGGAGUCCUGGAGUUCUUGUCAUGAACAUCACUCAUACAGGGCCUCUAUAGACUCCCAGAAUCGUCAGUAUCUCCGUGUAUCACUAAAACACAAGCUGUUCAAGGAUCUGUUGAUCUCCCAGCUUGAUGAAAACAUUACGUCCUCACCAGAAGGGGUAGAGUCCUGGAAAUCUUUGAAAAAUCAACCUCAGUCCCAGGCAGAGGCCGAAGAAAUUGAAUCACAGAUAGAUAUGCCUGAUGUGCCACUGCAUCUCCAGUUCCACAAGAUUAACACACCUUUCUCAGACUGGCAACAGUCUUGGAAAGUGUCAACUGCAGAAAGUGAAGGCGAAAAACAACAGAGAGAAUGGAAUGGUUCCUGGAAGAUAUAUUGUCCAUAUCUGUCAAAAAACAACACAAAAGCCCAAAAUGAUUUUGUGUUUUUGUCCAAUAAGCAUAAGACUUACAAGUGCCUGGGUGUCGAUCAUGCUGAAAACAGCAUGCCUCAGAAUGAAUGGUCUGAAUCUUGGAAGACAAAGCAGCACCAGCAGCAGUUGGAGGACUGGGCAGAGUCUUGGAGGUUAUCUGUCGCCCCAGAAUCCAACAACUCAGUAUCACUGGACCGGUGGAAACAAUCAUGGAGACUCUCAAAACCAAAUCACCCACAUCAGCUUAACCAGGGCACAGAGCGUCUCAUACACAACAGCCCCAAACACCACAUGCAACUCCACGAGGUUGAACUGCCCCAGGCAGAAUGGAGCAACUCCUGGCAGUACCUCAAGUCAGACACUCUGGAUCCUAACACGAAAAAGGAAACAUACAUACAGUAGAACAUUAUAACAUGUACGUCAAAUGAUCAGAUAUGUAUUUGAUCCUAUACUAUUUUUACUUCAUGUCAAUAUACAUACUUGUUAAAUGUCUUAUUACUGGACACAUUGGAGUGAGACUAGCAUAAUUCUCUGCUGCAGGGAGGAGGUUGGGGUGGAUGAAGUGUAUAACACGUGGUUUGCAUUGCUCUUGGAAACUUUAAAUCUAAACUAAACUAAUUACUUAUAUUC